CUCAUAGUUUUUCUAACGUUAAAGUUGCGUAAAAGUGGAAACCUUUUUUUCAUAGUACUAUGGCUACUGUUUAAAUUUCUUCACAUCGUGUAAUUAUUAAAUUAUUUCUGUUUUGGCAAGCAUUUUAGUUCCUGUGCGUCGGCCGUCGUGUGAUAGAUAUCCGCGAUGUUACAUUACCUCACAUUUGGAGGAAUUUCCUUUCAUUAGAGGAAAACAAAAGAAAUAUGAUCGAGUUCUUGUCGCAUCACCUUGAAGAGGCCUCAUUUGACGGCGUACUUGUGAUUGCUGGAGGCUUCAGUGAUAUGAAAGAAAAGUUUUCUGUAACCGUCAAACGACACAGAUUUCCUCCUCAGAAGCUUUCCACAAGGAAGAGGAUACUAGGAUAACGUUACAGAUACAGAUGUAUUUCUGUUACUUCUUCAUCACUUCGAGAAAAUACUGGCAAACUAAGCUUGAUUGCUGAGCGGUACUUCAAAGUCUUUUUACGAUGGCCUUAAGGAAUGGAAACGGAGAAACAUCUUUUCGCUAGGAUACGUAAUUAUAGAGAUUCUUGAAAAACUGUUCCUGUUACCAGACUGUUCGAGUGCGUCGUUUUUCAGGAAGGAUGUAUCAUUCCGUGUGAUGCUCGACCCGUACCAGUAAUUGCAAAACUGAAUGUAUUUUUUACUUCAUUUACAUGACUAGAAAGGGUGCAGCGAUGGCCAUCCAUCAUCUACUCUAGUAAGACAACUAGUUAAAAGUAGUUCAAGACAUGUGCACCUUGAUCUACACGACCAUACAACUACUUGCGCAUCUCAACUAUCUAUAUGGAUUCUGGAUACAUGUCAUUACUGAUAGUUUAUCGAAUUCGAUUAAAUUAUUACCUGAGGUCAAUGAUUUGUAAAUGGUAGUAAAAGUUAUUCUAUAGUUAUCAAAUAGAUGUCCACUGCAAAUGUAGGCCAUUCACAAGCUUUUUCUUUCAUUAUAAAAGUGUAAAAACCAACCUUGCACCUGACUUACAAAAAUAAAAGUAGAAACUUGACCGAGAAAAUCACGUAACCUUGUCUUUCCGUUUGGUUAUAAUUGCUUGUUAAUUCAAACAGUCUGUUUAAUUUUGUAUUAUUUAAUUUACA